GAAAAUUUAUAUUUAGCUUUAAAAUUUUAAAUUGUAGAUUUGAAAUUUUCAAAUUUCAAAUAUAUUUUUUAAAUUAAAGUAGAAAAUUUUAAAUUUUGUACAAACUUUAAGUUUUAAUUCAAAAUUUAAAUUAUUUGAAAAUAAAAUUUUGUAAAAAUAUUAUUAUAUGCAAAUAUUAAAAUUUUUUUGUCAAACAACUUUACAAAAUUUAUUACUUCAGAAAAAUUAUUUUUAAUCUAAACUCAGCCAAACGCUUUAUAGCUUUUAACCAAAAUUAUUUUUCUAAACCAACAUCAAUUCUACAGAAAUCACUUUUCCACAAUCUAAGCAAAACGGGCCCAUAGACAUUUUGAAUUUUCUAUCUAACCUUUCAAAAUUUUGAUUUUAUCAUUUUACCCUUCAAUGUAUUUGAUUAGAGCUCGUCAACGGUACUGUGAUUUCAAAAUUUAAGUUAAUUAUUUUCUUUAAUAAACUUAUAUAUUAUUGCGAGAAUCGUAUGAAAUAUACUAACUAAACUUUUAAAAUAAAUGAUGCAUUCAAAUUUUGAAUUCAAAAUAUUGUUCACUAACUGAAAUCAAAUAAGUUGAAACGGUAAAAUCAAAAUUUUGAAAGGAAGCUAUAUCAAAAUGGUCCAUAGUUUGGAAAAGUAUUAAUUGUAUGUUUCUAUCUUAUUAAAAUAGUAAUGCUACAUGUACGCCCAAAAAGUAUGCAUAAAUCUU
rnacentral:lncRNA from 1 species